rnacentral:tRNA from 1 species
GGGGGCAUAGUUUAGUAGUAAAAUUUCCGUCUCCAAAACGGACGUCCUAGGUGCAACUCCUAGUGCCCCCGCCG